GACGAACGCUGGCGGCGUGCUUAACACAUGCAAGUCGAACGAGAGGACAAGAGAAGCUUGCUUCUUUUGGAAUCGAGUGGCAAACGGGUGAGUAACACGUAAACAACCUGCCCUUCAGGAUGGGGACAACAGACGGAACGACUGCUAAUACCGAAUACGCUUGGAAGACCGCAUGAUCUUCUAAGGAAAGGGUGGCCUCUACCCUGUAAGCUAUCACUGAGAGAUGGGUCUGCGUCUGAUUAGCUUGUUGGCGGGGUAAGGCCCACCAAGGCGACGAUCAGUAGCCGGUCUGAGAGGAUGAACGGCCACAUUGGAACUGAGACACGGUCCAGACUCCUACGGAGGCAGCAGUGGGGAAAUCUUCCGCAAUGGACGAAAGGUCUGACGGAGCAA
rnacentral:rRNA from 1 species